rnacentral:rRNA from 1 species
UACGUAGGGUGCGAGCGUUGUCCGGAAUUACUGGGCGUAAAGAGCUCGUAGGUGGUUUGUCGCGUUGUCCGUGAAAACUCACAACUCAAUUGUGGGCGUGCGGGCGAUACGGGCAGACUGGAGUACUGCAGGGGAGACUGGAAUUCCUGGUGUAGCGGUGGAAUGCGCAGAUAUCAGGAGGAACACCGGUGGCGAAGGCGGGUCUCUGGGCAGUAACUGACGCUGAGAAGCGAAAGCAUGGGUAGCAAACAGG